rnacentral:tRNA from 1 species
UGGCUCAGUUGGUAGAGCGCGGUGCUCACAACGUCAAGGUUGUGGGUUCGAUUCCCAU